ensembl:lincRNA
ACCUUUCAGUUCGAGGAGGGCGUCACUCUUCCUGGAUCUCAUUUUCCUGAGGAUAGUCCAUGCUGGCCGAUUUAGAAGAAAAAUCAUUAGCAUAUUAAAAAAGAGAGGGAGAGAAAGAAAGAAAACCCACCAAGCUGCUGUGAGAAGGAAGAUGAUGGUGCUAGCGGCGAUACUUGCUUUUCCUGAUUCCCAUUUCACCCUCUCAUCUUACUCGCGUUGUCUGUUUCCCCCGCAGCAUCCAUCAGUUAGCAGUUUUUAAGGGAGCAGGGCUGUAUUCGGGCUCAUCUGCUGAAUGGGGCUGUGUUCUCCAUAGCCUCUGAUUCACCCGCGCUCCUUUCUAACAAGGGUCUAGAAAGCAAGCGACUGGUGCAAUCGCACACAGGCAUUACGUUUCUGGGUGUUGCCGAGAUCGGACCCAGCAACUUUCCCUCAAGGAGCCUAAGACUACUGGUUCCAAGCGCGGAGCCACAGCCCGUCCUCCUGGGUGUGCUUUAGCGCUUGGGCAAAGCGAUGCUCUCACCAGGUCAGGGGAAACUAGCGCUGACUUACUGGGUCCUGGCGAAUGCGGGUACAGGCUAGGCGGUCCCAGCUGAGAAAGUGAGGAUGUCGAAACACCCUUCCUCGCUGGCUCGCUCUGUCCACCUACCGUCUUAUCAUGCGACUCACAAAUGAAAUGCUAAUAGACGCGAGGACUGAUGCCAAUUUCCUGCACUUUGCUCAGCGUUUCCGCGGCCCCAACACAAUAAAAGAUAGCAGUUUGUGGAGAAUGCCCUGUUCCAUACCAUUAACUCCGAACAAAACAUAUUUUUAGUGGGACAGCGGUGUUUACUCGUAAGAACAGAUGAAUUGUUCUGCACCAUAUAUCACCCGCGGACAAAGACAUUCAGCUACAGUUUUGGACAUAAAUCAAGGUACAUGCUCUUCAAUUAAAAAAAAAAAAAAGAAAAGAAAAAAAGAAAGAAAAGAAAAGAAAAGAAAAGAAAAAAAUGACUGCUUAAGUCCCUCAAACCACAGAGAUUGAGGUCAGCCCGGCCAUAGCAACCACAAGCAGAACUUCGGCUUCCAGAAAGACCUAGCAACCGAUAAAUGAGUUCAGAUCUCUUUUCAUCUCCACUGGUGUGAAAGCCAAAAUUAAAAAGAUUAGAUCACCCUGGACCCAUCACAAAAGGUACCACAAUGAAAAAGUCAUUUCCAGUCUUUGAAUCGCAUCAAAUAAAUAACAUUCAUCCUUGCUAUAAUGAACAACUUUCAAAGUAAAUAGAAUCUCCAUCGCCGGCUUUCUCUGGCUGAACAGUAUUUACAUAACAAUGUGUCAGAGGAAGACCUGAAUGGAUCUUGUAAAUGGGGAGCUGGGGAUAAAAACAUCUUUAGCCCAGAUUACUCUAUGUUCAGACUACUUGGCAGUGCCUCUCUUAUAAACAGUAUCUUAGACCACGGACAUCAACAAUGUUUUUAAAUUGUGGGAAAUCAAAGUUUUAAAUGCCUGGACUCGCCCAGUGAACUACCUUUGUGGGGCAAGAGUAAAGAUUUAAAAAUAAAUAAAUAAAUAAACAAAUAAAUAAAUAAAUAACAAAUCACUUACUGCCCUUAAUCCAAGGUCUAGCUAGACUCUUUUUGUGGCAAAGAAAUUUUCACCUGUACAGAUCCUUGCCUCUUUGUUCAGACCAGCAAUCUUUGAUCCUAAAUAGCCGUUUCUACAUAGAAUUUUCACACAGUACUUAAAAAUAAAAAUACAUUUGCAGAUUUUUUUCCUCUUCUUAGCACGCGCCUCAUUCAUCAUUUGCUAUUUCCUCGAAAGUCUAAGAUAUUUACCUAUAGUGGCUUCCUUUUUAAAUCACAAAUGUCCCUCUGAGGCACAAAGAUUCUGAAAGAAUUGUAUAUAAAUAUUUCCUUACCUAAAACUUGUCAGAAGAAUGCUCUUAUCCUCCACGGUCAGUCAUCUCUGCUGGUUCCCCCUCU